AACGAACGCUGGCGGCAGGCUUAACACAUGCAAGUCGAACGCGUGUAGCAAUACACGAGUGGCGCACGGGUGAGUAACGCGUGGAUAUCUGCCUUUUGGCUCGGAAUAACCCCGGGAAACUGGGGCUAAUACCGGAUGGUUCCUUCGGGAUAAAGAUUUAUCGCCAAAAGAUGAGUCCGCGUACGAUUAGCUAGUUGGUGAGGUAAUGGCUCACCAAGGCGACGAUCGUUAGCNGGUCUGAGAGGACGAUCAGCCACACUGGGACUGAGACACGGCCCAGACUCCUACGGGAGGCAGCAGUGGGGAAUAUUGCGCAAUGGGCGAAAGCCUGACGCAGCAACGCCGCGUGGGUGAUGAAGGCCU
rnacentral:rRNA from 1 species